UACAGUUGGAUUUUUCUUUUUCUCUGCCUUCUAAUGCUUGUCACAUGUCUUUGUCUUUUAUCAGAACUGAAUGGUUAUCCUGACUUAGGGAAAACACAAAAGCACGGAGUUAAAUCACAGCAUGAAGUCAAGACAACUGAGCCUGAAAAUGCAAAAGAGUUAAGACAGCAGGCUCCUCUGUGUCAUGCAGGCAUUACUGUCACUGAGAAUGUCCUGGCUUCAGAUUUCUGCCUUCCUCUUUGCUGACGUGAAUCAGAUUUACCUUCUCCAAAAAAACCCACUUUACCAAAUAGCGUGAUAUUUCUGAUGACAUUAGAGUUACUCCAUACUCUUGAGAUGUGCAGGGUAGGGAAUUUCUACAGAAGGUCUACUCUGCUUGUAACCUUGGAGAGUCUCUAUGAGGGCACAACUCUUACGUGGUCUGAAAGUGUUCAGAUUGAUGCUGGAUGGAGGCAUCUCCAGGGGGCUAUGCAAGAUACGCAUUGCAGUAGAGAGAAUUGUUAUUUUCUCUCCAGUGACAGUUUCAAAAUUAACAGGAAAGCUGUUAUCGUCAGCUUGUCCCCAGUACAAAAACUGCCCUGUAAGACAACACAUAGAAGCUGACAGCAAG
rnacentral:lncRNA from 1 species